rnacentral:rRNA from 1 species
GACGAACCGUGCGAACGCUGUUCGGAAUCACUGGGCGUAAAGCGCACGUAGGCGGAUCUUUAAGUCAGGGGUGAAAUCCUGGAGCUCAACUCCAGAACUGCCUUUGAUACUGGGGAUCUCGAGUCCGGAAGAGGUGAGUGGAACUCCGAGUGUAGAGGUGAAAUUCGUAGAUAUUCGGAAGAACACCAGUGGCGAAGGCGGCUCACUGGUCCGGUACUGACGCUGAGGUGCGAAAGCGUGGGGAGCAAACAGG